rnacentral:rRNA from 1 species
AGUGUAGGCGGCUUCGUAAGUCGGAUGUGAAAGCCCUGGGCUUAACCUGGGAAUUGCAUUCGAUACUGCGCGGCUAGAGUCUGAUAGAGGGAAGUGGAAUUCCAGGUGUAGCGGUGAAAUGCGUAGAGAUCUGGAGGAACACCAGUGGCGAAGGCGGCUUCCUGGAUCAAGACUGACGCUGAGGCUCGAAAGCGUGGGGAGCAAACA